rnacentral:rRNA from 1 species
UACGGGGGAGCAAGCGUUGUUCGGAUUUACUGGGCGUAAAGGGCGCGUAGGCGGUCAGCACAAGUCAGUUGUGAAAUCUCCGGGCUUAACUCGGAAAGGUCAACUGAUACUGUGCGACUAGAGUGCAGAAGGGGCAACUGGAAUUCUCGGUGUAGCGGUGAAAUGCGUAGAUAUCGAGAGGAACACCUGCGGCGAAGGCGGGUUGCUGGGCUGACACUGACGCUGAGGCGCGAAAGCUAGGGGAGCAAACGGG